rfam:Bryantella formatexigens DSM 14469 B_formatexigens-1.0.1_Cont2.1, whole genome shotgun sequence.
AGUUUUGAUAGAGGUUGCGUAUUUCAUGAGUAGGCGGCUGGAUGUAUCCGGGUACAGGAGAAGGCUGGUGAAAGGGAAACACGCCGAAAGGUGCAGUACCUGGGGCUGUAUACUUGGGCAUAGGGCGAACAGCCAUAUGACUGUCAUCAGAGGUUGAUGAGGAGCUAUCUGAAAA